CCGUCAUGCCAAACUAUUUUCAAUAGUGUGUAGAUGCAAAGGGGCAAGCAACGACAUUCUAUUGACUGUGAUAUUUCAUUGAGAACGCUCGGCUUUACGAUGAAUUAAGUGCCAUUUUACAAGCAGUUUUAACCAUUUCGAAUUAAAUGGAAUUUAAGGAGAAUCCAACACGUUAAAUCUUUGCAAUAUAAAACAGUGACACAUGACGAUAAUUGCUACAUUUCCUUUCGUCUUUGAAGACGAUCCAAAAAAAUUCAAAUCUUACAAAAUGGUUGUGCAGUAUAUGCACGGCAUUUUCAUUUCAGUCGGGGGAAAUUUCAAUGUGAAAGAAAAAUAUCACACCUUAUCCGUUAUAAAUGACUGCAAAUUUAUUUGCUACUAAACAUUUGUGAAUGUUAAAGCAAAACGAUGUAUAAUAAGAUUGUUUCUCUCAUAAUACGCGCGAAUGUUUCACGUCACAUCAAAUAAAUAGGAGUCGCGCGCACCAGAUGGUCGUGAUUCUAAGUAUUUAUCAGAUGAAUGGAAAUCGCAUUGCUACGAUUCAGCGCAUGCAUCGAAAAUAAUCGUUUGAUAAAUUGGUGAAUUCAUGAGAAGGCAUUUCAAAUGAUUUUGCAACACCGAAUGAAAAAAAAAUCUCAUGUUUUCGGGAAAAUGUUCGUGUUUUAUGUUCGCGUUUUAUAGGAAAAAAGAAAGUAAUAGAAUUAGUUACCAAAAGUCAAUUUUCGAACAAUUAUAAUAUGA